AACGAACGCUGGCGGCAGGCUUAACACAUGCAAGUCGAACGCCCCGCAAGGGGAGUGGCAGACGGGUGAGUAACGCGUGGGAACAUACCCCUUUUCUACGGAAUAGCUCUGGGAAACUGGAAUUAAUACCGUAUACGCCCUACGGGGGAAAGAUUUAUCGGGGAAGGAUUGGCCCGCGUUGGAUUAGCUAGUUGGUGGGGUAAAGGCCUACCAAGGCGACGAUCCAUAGCUGGUCUGAGAGGAUGAUCAGCCACAUUGGGACUGAGACACGGCACAAACUCCUACGGGAGGCAGCAGUGGGGAAUAUUGGACAAUGGGCGCAAGCCUGAUCCAGCCAUGCCGCGUGAGUGAUGAAGGCCUUAGGGUUGUAAAGCUCUUUCACCGAUGAAGAUAAUGACGGUAGUCGGAGAAGAAGCCCCGGCUAACUUCGUG
rnacentral:rRNA from 1 species